rnacentral:rRNA from 1 species
UACGGGGGGGGCAAGCGUUGUUCGGAAUUACUGGGCGUAAAGGGCUCGUAGGCGGCCAACUAAGUCGGAUGUGAAAUCCCCAGGCUUAACCUGGGAACUGCAUCCGAUACUGGAUGGCUUGAAUCCGGGAGAGGGAUGCAGAAUUCCAGGUGUAGCGGUGAAAUGCGUAGAUAUCAGGAGGAAUACCGAUGGCGAAGGCAGCCCCCUGGGAUAACACUGACGCUCAUGCACGAAAGCGUGGGGAGCAAACAGG